AUUGAACGCUGGCGGCAGGCCUAACACAUGCAAGUCGAGCGAGCGGCGGACGGGUGAGUACUGUCUGGUAAACUGCCUGAUGGCGGGGGAUAACUACUGGAAACGGUAGCUAAUCCCGCAUAACAUCCGAUGUGCCCAGAGGGGAUUAGCUAGUAGGUGGGGUAACGGCUCACCUAGGCGACGAUCCCUAGCUGGUCUGAGAGGUUGACCAGCAACACUGGGACUGAGACACGGUCCAGACUCCUACGGGAGGCAGCAGUGGGGAAUAUUGGACAAUGGGCGCAAGCCUGAUGCAGCCAGGCCGCGUGUGUGAAGAAGGCCUUCGGGUUGGAAAGCACUGUCAGCGGAGAGGCGUUACCCGCAGAAGAAGCACCGGCUAACUCCGUGCCAGCAGCCGCGGUAAUAC
rnacentral:rRNA from 1 species